rfam:Rhodotorula graminis WP1 unplaced genomic scaffold RHOBAscaffold_16, whole genome shotgun sequence.
GGGGCUGUGGCGCAGUGGCAGCGCGUCUCUUUUGCAGUGCCUCUAGGUACCAUCGUAGAGAAGGCCAGGGGUUCAAACCCCCUCAGCUCCA